rnacentral:rRNA from 1 species
GCCCAGCCGUAAACUUUUACUUACAUUGAAUCGCCAGGGAACUACGAGCUAAGCUUAAAACCCAAAGGACUUGACGGUACCCCAUAUCCCCCUAGAGGAGCCUGUCCUAUAAUCGAUAAUCCACGUUAAACCUCACCACUUUUAGUUACUCAGCCUGUAUACCUCCGUCGUCAGCUUACCACGUGAGCGCUAAUUAGUGAGCUUAAUGUAUAUUCACCAACACGUCAGGUCAAGGUGCAGCAAAUGAAGUGGAAAGAGAUGGGCUACACUUUCUAAAUUAGAAGAAACGAAAAACUAUCUAUGAAACCUAGUUAGAAGGCGGAUUUAGCAGUAAAAAGGAAUCAGCACGUCCAUUUUAACCCGGCACUGGGGUGUGU